CCUACGGGAGGCAGCAGUGAGGAAUAUUGGUCAAUGGACGAGAGUCUGAACCAGCCAAGUAGCGUGAAGGAUGACUGCCCUAUGGGUUGUAAACUUCUUUUAUAUGGGAAUAAAAUGUUCCACGUGUGGGAUUUUGUAUGUACCAUAUGAAUAAGGAUCGGCUAACUCCGUGCCAGCAGCCGCGGUAAUACGGAGGAUCCGAGCGUUAUCCGGAUUUAUUGGGUUUAAAGGGAGCGUAGGUGGAUUGUUAAGUCAGUUGUGAAAGUUUGCGGCUCAACCGUAAAAUUGCAGUUGAAACUGGCAGUCUUGAGUACAGUAGAGGUGGGCGGAAUUCGUGGUGUAGCGGUGAAAUGCUUAGAUAUCACGAAGAACUCCGGUUGCGAAGGCAGUUCACUGGACUGCAACUGACACUGAGGCUCGAAAGUGUGGGUAUCAAACAGGAUUAGAUACCCCAGUAGUC
rnacentral:rRNA from 1 species